AAAAGAAUAAUUGAGUUUCUUAAAAAAAAAAAAAAGGAGAAUAAAAAAGAAUAAAGAGCCAUUAAGCAUGAAAAAUAGUGGCAUCUUCGAAAAAAAAAAAUUAUGAAAAAUAAGUUCUCUAAGUACCUAAUCAACAAUGAAUUGAGCCCCGGUUAUGGUAAUUUUUCAAUAAGGAAGAGUAGUUGAUACCUAACUUCAAUUUAGCCUACUUUUCCCAAAUUUAUCCCACCAUUUACCCAAGCCAAGUUACAACCUUUAAGACCUCAAAAAUGUGUGUCAUGUAUUUACUUUGAUUGACGGUUUAGAAUUUUUUCAAGCUUAUGGUAAAAUAGCAUUUGCAUGUUGAUGGAGUAAAUACCCUGUCAAAAUUGAGUGAAUUAGUGAGUGAGAGAUAAGGUUGAACUUUGAACAUCGUGUGG
rnacentral:lncRNA from 1 species